rnacentral:snRNA from 1 species
AUACUUACCUGGUAGGGGAGAUACCAUAACCAUGAAGGUGGUGUUCCCAGGACAAGACUUGUUCACUAUACUCCAGUUGUGCUGGCCCCUGUGAUUGCCCCAAAUGUGGGAAACUGAAUUGCAUAAUUUGUGGUAGUGGGAGACCUCUGUUUGCACUUUCCAC